rnacentral:rRNA from 1 species
UGGGUAACCUGCCUCAAAGAGGGGAAUAGCCUCCCGAAAGGGAGAUUAAUACCGCAUAAUAUGUUUAAGUCGCAUGACUUUAACAUCAAAGGAUUUUCUUUUAGAAAUUCCACUUUGAGAUGGACCCGCGGCGCAUUAGCUAGUUGGUGAGGUAACGGCUCACCAAGGCAACGAUGCGUAGCCGACCUGAGAGGGUGAUCGGCCGCAUUGGAACUGAGACACGGUCCAGACUCCGUAGGAG